GACCCGCACAAGCGGUGGAUGAUGUGGUUUAAUUCGAUGCAACGCGAAAAACCUUACCCACCUUUGACAUGUAUGGAAGUCGCCAGAGAUGGCUUCGUGCUCGAAAGAGAACCAUAACACAGGUGCUGCAUGGCUGUCGUCAGCUCGUGUCGUGAGAUGUUGGGUUAAGUCCCGCAACGAGCGCAACCCUUGUCAUUAGUUGCUACAUUCAGUUGGGCACUCUAAUGAGACUGCCGGUGACAAACCGGAGGAAGGUGGGGAUGACGUCAAGUCCUCAUGGCCCUUAUAGGUGGGGCUACACACGUCAUACAAUGGCUGGUACAAAGGGUUGCCAACCCGCGAGGGGGAGCUAAUCCCAUAAAACCAGUCGUAGUCCGGAUAGCAGUCUGCAACUAGACUGCGUGAAGUCGGAAUCGCUAGUAAUCGUGGAUCAGAAUGUCACGAUGAAUACGUUCCCGGGU
rnacentral:rRNA from 1 species